CGCAACGUCAGUGAGCGUUCUCUCGUUCAAUGAUCUUUUACGAUCGGUUGGGUUUUUGUUGUUGUUUUGUUAUUUGAAUGUCUGUGGGUGUGCUUCUACUGUUGCGUUACUGCCAGCGAGCAAGUCGCUCUCUCUCUCCCUCUCUCGCUCCGGUGACGGUUAUGGCACAGGGACAAAGAAGCGGCACAUUGUAUGGAUCCUACCGACGCCGCGGCCUGCAGCCAAUAUACGCCAUUUAUACACUUACCUAUUCGACGGGCGAUGGAAACGGAGACGGAGCGCGGUGAACGGGAAGGGAAGAAAGAACAAUAAAAAUAUUAAAUUCAAUCGUUACUGCAAAAAAAAAA